UCUACCAAAGGAUAAU
rnacentral:tRNA from 1 species